CGGAGUGUGGCUCAGUCUGGUAGAGCACCGCGUUCGGGACGCGGGGGUCGUAGGUUCGAAUCCUAUCACUCCGA
rnacentral:tRNA from 3 species